rnacentral:rRNA from 1 species
GACGAACGCUGGCGGCGUGCCUAAUACAUGCAAGUAGAACGCUGAAGACUUUAGCUUGCUAAAGUUGGAAGAGUUGCGAACGGGUGAGUAACGCGUAGGUAACCUGCCUACUAGCGGGGGAUAACUAUUGGAAACGAUGGCUAAUACCGCAUAACAGCAUUUAACCCAUGUUAGAUGCUGGAAAGGAGCAAUUGCUUCACUAGUAGAUGGACCUGCGUUGUAUUAGCUAGUUGGUGAGGUAACGGCUCACCAAGGCGACGAUACAUAGCCGACCGAAGAGGGUGGUAGGCCACACUGGGACUGAGACACGGCCCAGACUCCUACGGGAGGCAGCAGUAGGGAAUCUUCGGCAAUGGGGGCAACCCUGACCUAGCAACGCCGCGUGAGUGAAGAAGGUUUUCGGAUCGUAAAGCUCUGUUGUAAGAGAAGAACGUGUGUGAGAGUGGAAAGUUCACACAGUGACGGUAACUUACCAGAAAGGGACGGCUAACUACGUGCCAGCCGCCGCCGUAACAC